rnacentral:tmRNA from 1 species
GGGGCUGAUAUAGCUUCGACGAUGGGACUUUAACAGGUUAUUUUGCAAGUCGUAUGUACACGUUACGUACAAAAAUUUUAAAUGCAAAAACAUUUACAGCAAAAGUUGCAGCAGCAUUCGCUCCUGCACCUCGCGCACUAGCUUUCGCCUAAACGCCUAAGCCAUCGAUUCUCUCUAGGUAGCAUGUGAGUGAACGGUGUUAUAAGUAUGCUACUUACCCCUUGAUCGGGCAGCUGCGAUCAUAAGGGACAAUUUACAGCGUGACAAGUGAAUCGUUUAUGUCUCGAUCAGAGAUUCACGAGUCGUUAAAAAAUAAUUGAGACUACACUUGUAGACGAAUAGCAGGUUACCUUUCGGACCCGGGGGCAGUACCCGGCAGCUCCACCA